GCACACUCACACGAUCAAAUGUUACAAGACACACAAAAUUCUUGUGCGGCAUUCAACUAGCAGAUUUUUUAUUUUUGCUUGUCUAUUCAUUUGACCACUACUUGAGCCGUUCAGGUGCAAAUAGGAAGGGAGAAAGACAUGAGUUGGACCGAGCUUCAUGGCAAUGCCAUCCCAAAGCCACUCACUCCACAACCCCAACAUUGCUGCCGCAAUCGCUAGGUCUCAUGCCAUCCCAUAUAGCAACCACAACAGUCUACAUAAAGAAAUAAACCAGCAGCCAAGUCGUGUGCAUACACACACGACAUGGCGCGUUAUUUGCUAGCCGAGGAAUAAAGGAAACUAGGGUUCAUGUGAAGUUGACUAACACAGAAGACGCUGUGCUUAGUUGUGGGUAAAUUGGGGCCACAUGCCAUUACGGUAGAGACCCUCUUUAAGAUAGGCGGUGGCACGGCGGAGUUCUUCCUUGAGCCUCAUAUUCUCUGUACACAGGCGUUGGUGCUCCGAGGUAUCCUGAGUUUUUAGUAUCACGCCUGCGCAUUUGAGGCAUGUCUUGUGUUCAACAACCCACUUGAUAGCUUGGUUUUCAUCUUUUAGCAUCUGGUUCUCUCCCUGAAGAUUUUUGGUGUCCUGUAGUUGCCUCUUGCCCUGCAUUUAUUAAUUUCAGGUAUGCGUCAUUUUAGUGGGUUAGCAAAGUAUGCAUGCUACCAUGUUCACGAGGGGAUUAUAUAGUACUACAUUGUAAUAUUAGAUGACCAAUAAUGCUACUAUUUUUAGUGGAGUUUGUACUGUUUAACAGUAAAACUUGCAUAGCUGCAUGUCUUAGGUGACCCAUGUGCCCAAAUGUCAUGUAAUUCACUGUGGAAAAGAAUGGAAUAUAUACCUUGCUGAAGGAGCGUUUGUUUUGGAACCAAAACUUGACCUGCAGGGCACUCAUGCCAAGCCUCUCGCUAAGGUCUUGCCGGAGUUUCGCAUCUGGAUAAGGGCUUUCUUGGAACACACUACAUAUCACGUUAAUGAAAAUGGAUUAGCACACAUCUUUUUUGAUAGGUAAGAAACAUUGAUUGAGUAUGUAUUGUACACUUCAAGUUAUUGGAUUUGUUCUCCACGGAGACGGUUAUAAUUUGCACGCGUUGUCACCAUUCUCUGCUCACUAUUGAUCUCUCCAUCGUUAUUGUUGCCUUUGUCUGCAGCAGCAGCGUUGGCAUCGUCAGUGUUGCCCAUGUUGGUAGUGGCUCCCAGUAGGCCAUGCAUCUCAUCACCAUUCUCGUGCUGGAGUAGGUGGCCCUGCUCGCUUGUGAUGAAGAGGUCCAACAUAUUUUGCACAUCACUGUCGUAUUCCGGCAACUCCCCAUCCAUGGUGAUCUGUUAUCAUGAAACAAAAUAUUUAUUCUCAUGUGUAGACUUAUUAAAGGUAGCAAUGAACAAAUAUCUUAAGAAAAAAGAAUGCGGUAGUGAAAAAUGAAAUCAAGUAGACUUUAGUUGCCAAUGUAGUACAUUUAGAUUUAGAUUUUAAUUUCCAACAUAGUUGGAUGUUACUCCACAUUAAGAAUACUUAAAAUUCAUCUGUAUGAGUUUCCUAGACCGAGAUGUAAUCAAGUAGACUUAAAAUUACUCUCAAAAAGUAUAUUGACAUAAUUUCCUGAAUUCACUAUCACAUAUUCAUGAUUAUCUACGCUGAUUACUUCAAUAAUUUCUAAACGUAUAUACCCUACAUAGUAAUGCAAAACUAUUACUUUCUUAUCUCAUCGUGUUCUUUUAUAUGUAUCAGAAAAUCCUUAGUCUAUCUAUAUAUACAUUGGUAUCUAUCUACAGACUCGGUAUGUGAUAUAAAUAAACAAGACCCUACAUACAAUAAGAUAAGUGCCAACUACUCCUACAAUUGUAGAAGCAAGAUAGUAAAAUAUAAUAUGCGAGGGAAAUCAUAUUAGCCAUAAAUAAUAGCAUCAUAGGCACGAUAAUACAAUCAGAUCUAUGAAUAUAUACAAUCAGAUCUACGUAUAGCAAGAUCCUAGCCAUCUCCCAAGCAAAGUGAUGAAAUGCUACUUUCUUUGUGUAUCCACUCACUCCAUGGUGGAUCUACCUUUUUUCCAAGAAUACAAGGGAUGAGAGAUGUCACGGAGUAUUCCUGCUCAACAUUAGAAGCUAUAUAUCCAAGGAUAACUAGAGUAGAAGGGUAUAAACAUUACUAGAUGAAUGGCUUAAGGAAAUACAGAUGGCUUCGGUUGUUGUCCUCCUUAGAACUUCGAUAGGCGAGAAAGUACACGAACCUAUUUUGUUCCUACUGAUAUAUCAAACUCAUUCAGCAAAGCAGCUAUGACCAUCCGAAUUUAAAGCCAUGAGCAGCAUGCAAAUUUUUUGCCAUGACCCAUGAUUAAUGCAAGCAAUUACUUCUAUCCAAAUAUAAGGCUCAUAUAUCAUGGAUUUUGCAUUGGCCUAUAUAUAGGUCAUAUUUAAUACUCAUUAAGCAUAUUUGUGGAGUGAAUAUUGGCAUAUCGAUACAAUAUAUUAUGCUAUUAAAACAAUAUAAAUUGCUUCUUCAUACAAUCAAUAGAAAAGAACGACUUUGAUCGAUAAUAUAUUUGUAGAUCUAAAUGAUAUACAUGGACAUAACGAUUUCUUUAGUUAAUAAUAAAUAUGUAGUAUGUUUUUUUUGGAAGAAAAACUUCCUAUGCACACAAUAGAAAAGAACACCAACAAUAACUUGUAUCCAAGUAUAAGGCUCACAUGCCAUGGAUAUUGACAGUUGUGGCAUGUCCUAUACAUAGGGCAUAAUUAAUACUCAUUAAUCCUAUUUGUGGAGUGAAUAUUUCCAUAUUUAUAACAAUAUAUUAUAUGAUUACAACAAUAGGAAAAGGGUGGUUCUGAUUAUCUAUAUACAUAAUAUACAUGGACAUAAAUGGGUGGUUGUGAUCCAUUAUAUGUUGUAGACCAACAUGAUAUACAUGGACAUAAAGAGUUCUUCAACCAAUACAACAUACAAUGUAUGUUAUUUUUCGGAAAAAAAACGUCCGGUUGAUUCAUCCACUAUUAAGGGAGCACAAAGAAUACCAGGACUAAUAGAAAUUACAUCUAGGUCAGCGACAACAACAAACACUGGAGUGAGCUGAAGACGCGCCGCCAUCAUCGCCCCUCUCUCUCACUGAUGUCGGCGAAACUUUUUUGCAGUAGUUAGACGGGAGUCCUCACGGCAAGGCCUCAUAGGACCACUACACUAGAGCAGCAACCAUCCCCAAUAAAGAGAAGCGUAGAUCAUGAUUCACUAAUCAAUUUCUAGCACAUUUCCCUUCCCGGUGGCACCACCAGUGUCAAUGUUCAAGUCACUCAAGCAAUCCGGUUCCAAUGACGGUGGCCCUGGAUGCACUGGAAUGCCCACCUGUCAUGGACUUACUAGCCGAUUUACCCGGGCCCGCCACGAUCUAACCCAGCAAUGUGGCUUUGGCCCGGUGGCGGGCCUUAGACUCCCGCGCGCUGGCAAGAAUUGACGGGCGGCGCCCAAUGAGAGUGGCCCCGGGCAGGCCCGGCGGUCCACCUAUCAUGGACCUCCCAGCCGGGUCUCCUGGGUACGAGCCGUCCGGGAAGAUCCGACGAAUCGGAUCAUCCCUGAGAGGCUACAGCCGCAUGCCACAAAGCAACCGAUGGCACAUAUGCUCUCAUAGCCCGUGGAUCUCUCGUGUGAUCCGACCCCAAUGACGAUGGCACCUCACGCACUAAGUGAUCCACUUAUCAUGGACCAUCCAACCAAGUUAAUGUUGGGGAACGUAGCAAUAAUUCAAAAUUUUCCUAUGUGUCACCAAGAUCAAUCUAUGGAGUCAUCUAGCAACGGGGGAGGAGUGGAUCUACAUACCCUUGUAGAUCGCGUGCGGAAGCGUUCAAGAGAACGGGGUUGAUGGAGUCGUACUCGUCGUGAUCCAAAUCUCCGAUGAUCCUAGCGUCGAACGGACGGCACCUCCGUGUUCAACACACGUACGGAGCAGCGACGUCUCCUCCUUCUUGAUCCAGCAAGGUGGAAGGAGAGGUUGAUGGAGAUCCAGCAGCACGAUGGCGUGGUGGUGGAAGUAGCGGGAUUCCAACAGGGCUUCGCCAAGCGCCGCGGGAGGAGGAAGGUGUGUCAUGGGAGGGAGAGGGAGGCGCCAGGGCUUAGGUUUUGUUGCCCUCCCUUCCCCCCACUAUAUAUAGGGCCAAGGGAGAGGGGGAGGGCGCAGCCUUGCCCCUUCCUCCAAGGAAGGGUGCGGCCAAGGGGGGGAGGAGUCCAUCCUCCCCAAGGCACCUCGGAGGUGCCUUCCCCUUUUAGGACUCUCCCCUCCUCUUGUCCCUUUGGUGCAUGGGCCUCUAGGGGCUGGUGCCCUUGGCCCAUAUAGUCCAAGGCGCACCCCCUACAGCCCAUGUGGCCCCCGGGGCAGGUGGCCCCACCCGGUGGACCCCCGGGACCCUUUCGGUGGUCCCGGUACAAUACCGGUGACCCCAAAACUUGUCCCGAUGCCCGAAAUAGCACUUCCUAUAUAUAAUUCUUUACCUCCGGACCAUUCCGGAACUCCUCGUGACGUCCGGGAUCUCAUCAGGGACUCCGAACAACUUUCAUGUUACCGCAUACUAAUAUCUCUAUAACCCUAGCGUCACCAAACCUUAAGUGUGUAGACCCUACGGGUUCGGGAGACAUGCAGACAUGACCGAGACGACUCUCCGGUAAAUAACCAACAGCGGGAUCUGGAUACCCAUGUUGGCUCCCACAUGUUCCACGAUGAUCUCAUCGGAUGAACCACGAUGUCAAGGACUUAAUCAAUCCCGUAUACAAUUCCCUUUGUCUAUCGGUACGAUACUUGCCCGAGAUUCGAUCGUCGGUAUCCCGAUACCUUGUUCAAUCUCGUUACCGGCAAGUCUCUUUACUCAUUCCAUAACACAUCAUCCCAUGAUCAACUCCUUGAUCACAUUGUGCACAUUAUGAUGAUGUCCUACCGAGUGGGCCCAGAGAUACCUCUCCGUUUACACGGAGUGACAAAUCCCGGUCUCGAUUCGUGCCAACCCAACAGACACUUUCGGAGAUACCUGUAGUGUACCUUUAUAGCCACCCAGUUACGUUGUGACGUUUGGCACACCCAAAGCACUCCUACGGUAUCCGGGAGUUGCACAAUCUCAUGGUCUAAGGAAAUGAUACUUGACAUUAGAAAAGCUUUAGCAUACGAACUACAUGAUCUAGUGCUAUGCUUAGGAUUGGGUCUUGUCCAUCACAUCAUUCUCCUAAUGAUGUGAUCCCGUUAUCAACGACAUCCAAUGUCCAUGGUCAGGAAACCGUAACCAUCUAUUGAUCAACGAGCUAGUCAACUAGAGGCUUACUAGGGACAUGGUGUUGUCUAUGUAUCCACACAUGUAUCUGAGUUUCCUAUCAAUACAAUUCUAGCAUGGAUAAUAAACGAUUAUCACGAACAAGGAAAUAUAAUAAUAAUCAAUUUAUUUAUGCCUCUAGGGCAUAUUUCCAACAGUCUCCCACUUGCACUAGAGUCAAUAAUCUAGUUCACAUCGAUAUGUGAUUAACACUCAAGGUCACAUCCCCAUGUGACUAACACCCAAAGAGUUUACUAGAGUCAAUAAUCUAGUUCACAUUUACCAUGUGAUUAACACUCGAUGAGUUCUGGGUUUGAUCAUGUUAUGCUUGUGAGAGAGGUUAUAGUCAACGGGUCUGAACCUUUCAGAUCCGUGUGCGCUUUACAAAUCUCUAUGUCAUCUCCUAGAUGCAACUACUACGCUACAUUUGGAGCCAUUCCAAAUAACUGUUCUACUUGGAGCUAUUCUAAAUUGUUGCUCGAUUAUACGUAUCCGUUAUCUCUACUCAGAGCUAUCCGGAUAGGUGUUAAGCUUGCAUCGACGUAACUCUUUACGUCGAACUCUUUAUCACCUCCAUAACCGAGAAAAUUCCUUAGUCCACAAGUUACUAAGGAUAACUUUGACCGCUGUCUUGUGAUCCAUUCUUGGAUCACUCUUGUACCCCUUGACUGACUCAUGGCAAGGCACAUUUCAGGUGCGGUACACAGCAUAGCAUACUGUAGGGCCUAUGUCUUAAGCAUAGGGGACGACCUUUGUCCUUUUUCUUUAUUCUGCCGUGGUCGAGUUUUAAGUCUUAACUUCAUACCUUACAACUCAGGCAAGAACUCCUUCUUUGACUGAUCCAUCUUGAACACCUUCAAGAUCAUGUCAAGGUAUGUGCUCAUUUGAAAGUACCAUUAAGCGUUUUGAUCUAUCCUUAUAGAUCUUGAUGCUCAAUGUUCAAGUAGCUUAAUCCAGGCUUUCCAUUGAAAAACACUUUUCAAAUAACCCUAUAUGCUUUCCAGAAAUUCUACGUCAUUCCUGAUUAACAAUAUGUCAAUAACAUAUAUUUAUCAGAAAUUCUAUAGUCCUCCCACUCACUUCUUUGGAAAUACAAGUUUCUCAUAAACUUUGUAUACACCCAAAAUCUUUGAUCAUCAUCAAAGCAUACAUUCCAACUCCGAGAUGCUUACUCCAGUCCCUAGAAGGAUUGCUGGAGCUUUGCAUACUCAUUAGCAUCUUUCAGGAUUGACAAAACCUUCCGGUUUGUAUCACAUACAACCUUUCCUCAAAAAAAUGUCGAGGAAACAAUGUUUUGACAUCCUAUCUGCAAGAUUUCAUAAAUAAUGCAGUAAUCGCUAAUAUAAUUCCAACAGACUCUUAGCAUCACUACGAGUGAGAAAGUCUCAUCGUAGUCAACUCCUUGAACUUGUCGGAAAACAUCUUAAUGACAAGUCGAGCUUUCUUAAUGGUGAUACUUACCAUCAUUGUCCGUCUUCCUUUUAAAAUCCAUAUGUACCUAACAGCCUUACGACCAUCAAGUAGUUCUUCCAAAGUCUACACUUUGUUUUCAUAUAUGGAUCCUCUCUCGGAUUAUAUGGCCUCGAGCCAUUUAUCGGAAUCCGGGCCCACCAUCGCUUCUCCAUAGCUCGUAGGUUCAUUGUUGUCUAGCAACAUGACUUCCAAGACAGGAUUACGUACCACUCUGAAGUAGUACGCAUCCUUGUCAUCCCACGAGGUUUGGUAGUGACUUGAUCUGAAGUUUUAUGAUCACUAUCAUAAGCUUCCACUUCAGUUGGUGUAGGUGCCACAGGAACAACUUCCUGUGCCCUGCUACACACUAGUUGAAGUGAAGGUUCAAUAACCUCAUCAAGUCUCCACCAUCCUCCCACUCAAUUCUUUCGAGAGAAUCUUUUCCUCGAGAAAGUACCCGAUUCUAGAAACAAUCCCUUAUUGCUUUCGGAUCUGAGACAGGAGGUAUACCCAACUAUUUUGGGUGUCCUAUGAAGAUGCAUUUAUCCGCUUUGGGUUCGAGCUUAUCAGCCUGAAACUUUUUCACAUAAGCAUCGCAGCCCCAAACUUUUAAGAAAUGACAGCUUAGGUUUCUCUAAACCAUAGUUCAUACGGUGUCAUCUCAACGGAAUUACGUGGUGCCCUAUUUAAAGUGAAUGUGGUUCUCUUUAAUGCCUAACCCAUAAACUAUUGUGGUAAUUCGAUAAGAGACAUCAUGGUAUGCAUCAUAUCCAAUAGGGUGCAGCUAUGAUGUUCGGACACACCAUCACACUAUGGUGUUCCAGGCUGUAUUAGUUGUGAAACAAUUUCCACAAUGUCUUAAUUCUGUGCCAAACUUGUAAUUCAGAUAUUCAUCUCUAUGAUCAUAUCAUAGAUAUUUUAUCCUCUUGUCAUGACGAUCUUUCAACUUCACCCUGAAAUUACUUGAACCUUUCAAUAAUUCAGACUCGUGAUUCAUCAAGUAAAUAUACUCAACAUCUACUCAAAUCAUCUGUGAAGUAAGAACAUAACGAUAUCCACUACAUGCCUCGGCACUCAUUGGAUUGCACACAUCAAAAUGUAUUACUUCCAACAAGUUGCUUUCUAGUUCCAUUUUACUGAAAACGAGGCUUUCAGUCAUCUUGCCCAUGUGGUAUGAUUUGCAUGUCUCAAGUGAUUCAAAAUCAAGUGAGUUCAAACGGUUCAUUUGCAUAGAGUUUCUUCAUGCAUAUACACCAAUAGACAUGGUUCGCAUGUCUCAAACUUUUUUUAAAAAAAGAGUGAGCCCAAAGAUCCAUCAACAUGGAGCUUCUUCAUGCGUUUUAUACCGAUAUGACUUACGUGGUAGUGCCACAAGUAGGUGGUAUUAUCAUUAAUAUCUUAUAUCUUUUGGCAUGAACAUGUGUAUCACUACGAUCGAGAUUCAAUAAACCAUUUAUUUUAGGUGUAAGACCAUCGAAGGUAUUAUUCAAAUAAACAGAGAACCAUUAUUCUCCUUAAAUGAAUAACCGUAUUGCGAUAGACGUAAUCCAAUCAUGUCUAUGCUCAACGCAAACACCAAAUAACAAUUAUUUAGGUUUAACCCCAAUCUCGAUGGUAGAGGGAGCGUGCGAUGCUUGAUCAUAUCAACAUUGGAAACACUUCCAACACAUAUCGUCAGCUCACCUUUAUCUAGUCUCCGUUUAUUCCGUAGCUUUUAUUUCGAGUUACUAACACUUAGCAACCGAACCGGUAUCUAAUACCCUGGUGCUACUAGGAGUACUAGUAAAGUACACAUUAACAUAAUGUAUAUCCAAUAUACUUCUAUCGACCUUGCCAGCCUUCUUAUCUACCAAGUAUCUAGGGUAAUUCUGCUCCAGUGAAUGUUCCCUUUAUUACAGAAGCACUUAGUCUCGGGUUUGGGUUCAACCUUGGGUUUCUUCACUAGAGCAGCAGCUGAUUUGCCGUUUCAUGAAGUAUCCCUUCUUGCCCUUGCCCUUCUUAAAACUAGUGGUUUCACUAACCAUCAAUAAUUGAUGCUCCUUCUUGAUUUCUACUUUCGUGGUGUCAAACAUCGCAAAUAUCUCAAGGAUCAUCAUAUAUGUCCCUGAUAUAUUAUAGUUCAUCAUGAAGCUCAAGCAGCUUGGUGGUAAUGACUUCGGAGAACCAUCACUCUUUCAUCUGGAAGAUCAACUCCCACUCGAUUCAAGCGAUUGUUGUACUCAGACAAUCUGAGCACAAGUUCAACAAUUGAGCUUUUCUCCCUUAGUUUGCAGGCUAAGAAAAUCGUCGGAGGUCUUAUACCUCUUGACGUGGGCACGAGCCUGAAAUCCCAAUUUCAGCCCUCAAAACAUCUCAUAUGUUUUGCGACGUUUCAAAAACGUCUUCGGUGCCUCAACUCUAAACCGUUUAACUGAACUAUCACGUAGUUAUCAAAACGUGUAUGUCAGAUGUUCGCAACAUCCACAGACGACGUUCGAGGUUCAGCACACUGAGCGGUGCAUAAAGGACAUAAGCCUUCUAUGAAGCAAUGAGGACAAUCCUCAGUUUACGGACCUAGUCCGCAUAAUUGCUACUAUCAACUUUCAACUAAAUUUUCUCUAGGAACAUAUCUAAACAGUAGAACUGAAGUGCGAGCUACGACAUAAUUUGCGAAAUCCUUUUGACUAUGUUCAGGAUAAACAAGUUCAUCUUAUGAACUCCCACUCAGAUAGACAUCCCUCUAGUCAUCUAAGUGAUUACAUGAUCCGAGCCAACUAGGUCGUGUCCGAUCAUCACGUGAGACGGACUAGUCAACAUCAGUGAACAUCUUCAUGUUGAUCGUAUCUUCUAUACGACUCAUGUUCGACCUUUCGGUCUUCUAUGUUCCGAGGCCAUGUCUGUACAUGCUAGGCUCGUCAAGUCAACCUAAGUGUUUCGCGUGUGUAAAUCUGGCUUACACCCGUUGUAUGUGAACGUAAGAAUCUAACACCCGAUCAUCAUGUGGUGCUUCGAAACACGAACUGUCGCAACGGUGCACAGUUAGGGGGAACACUUUCUUGAAAUUUUAACGAGGGAUCAUCUUAUUUACUGCCGUUGUUCUAAGCAAAUAAGAUGUAUAAACAUGAUAAACAUCACAUGCAAUCAAAUAGUGACAUGAUAUGGCCAAUAUCAUAUUGCUCCUUUUGAUCUCCAUCUUCGGGGCUCCAUGAUCAUCAUCGUCACCGGCAUGACACCAUGAUCUCCAUCAUCAUGAUCUCCAUCAUCGUGUCUUCAUGAAGUUGUCACGUCAUCUAUUACUUCUACUACUAUGGCUAACGCUUUAGCAAUAAAGUAAAGUAAUUACAUGACGUUUAUAUUGACACGCAGGUCAUAAAUAAAUAAAGACAACUCCUAUGGCUCCUGCCGGUUGUCAUACUCAUCGACAUGCAAGUCGUGAUUCCUAUUACAAGAACAUGAUCAAUCUCAUACAUCACAUAUAUCAUUCAUCACAUCCUUUUGGCCAUAUCGCAUCACAUAGCAUACCCUGCAAAAACAAGUUAGACGUACUCUAAUUGUUGUUUGCAUGUUUUACGUGGCUGCUAUGGGUUUCUAGCAAGAACCUUUCUUACCUACCGAAAGCCACAACGUGAUAUGCCAAUUGCUAUUUACCCUUCAUAAGGACCCUUUUCAUCGAAUCCGAUCCGACUAAAGUGGGAGAGACAGACACCCGCCAGCCACCUUAUGCAACUAGUGCAUGUUUGUCGGUGGAACCAGUCUCACGUAAGAGUACGUGUAAGGUCGGUCCGGGCCGCUUCAUCCCACGAUGCCGCCGAAUCAAGAUAAGACUAGUAAUGGCAAGCAUAGUGAACAAAAUCAACGCCCACAACUACUUUGUGUUCUACUCGUGCAUAGAAACUACGCAUAGACCUAGCUCAAGAUGCCACUGUUGGGGAACGUAGCAAUAAUUCAAAAUUUUCCUACGUGUCACCAAGAUCAAUCUAUGGAGUCAUCUAGCAACGAGGGAGGAGUGGAUCUACAUACCCUUGUAGAUCGCGCGCGGAAGCGUUCAAGAGAACGGGGUUGAUGGAGUCGUACUCAUCGUGAUCCAAAUCUCCGAUGAUCCUAGCGCCGAACGGAUGGCACCUCCGCGUUCAACACACGUACGGAGCAGCGACAUCUCCUCCUUCUUGAUCCAGCAAGGGGGAAGGAGAGGUUGAUGGAGAUCUAGCAGCACGACGACGUGGUGGUGGAAGUAGCGGGAUUCCAACAGGGCUUCGCCAAGGGCUGCGGGAGGAGGAAGGUGUGUCAUGGGAGGGAGAGGGAGGCGCCAGGGCUUAGGUUUUGUUGCCCUCCCUUCCCCCCACUAUAUAUAGGGCCAAGGGAGAGGGGGAGGGUGCAGCCCUGCCCCUUCCUCCAAGGAAGGGUGCGGCCAAGGGGGGAGGAGUCCAUCCUCCCCAAGGCACCUCGGAGGUGCCUUCCCCUUUUAGGACUCUCCCCUCCUCUUGUCCCUUUGGUGCAUGGGCCUCUAGGGGCUGGUGCCCUUGGUCCAUAUAGGCCAAGGCACACCCCCUACAGCCCAUGUGGCCCCCGGGGCAGGUGGCCCCAUCCCGGUGGACCCCCGGGACCCUUCCGGUGGUCCCGGUACAAUACCGGUGACCCCGAAACUUGUCCCGAUGCCCGAAAUAGCACUUCCUAUAUAUAAUUCUUUACCUCUGGACCAAUCCGGAACUCCUCGUGACGUCCGGGAUCUCAUCCGGGACUCCGAACAACUUUCGGGUUACCGCAUACUAAUAUCUCUAUAACCCUAGCGUGACCAAACCUUAAGUGUGUAGACCCUACGGGUUCGGGAGACAUGCAGACAUGACCGAGACGACUCUCCGGUCAAUAACCAACAGCGGGAUCUAGAUACCCAUGUUGGCUCCCACAUGUUCCACGAUGAUCUCAUCGGAUGAACCACGAUGUCAAGGACUUAAUCCCGUAUGCAAUUCCCUUUAUCUAUUGGUACGAUACUUGCCCGAGAUUCGAUCGUCGGUAUCCCGAUACCUUGUUCAAUCUCGUUACCGGCAAGUCUCUUUACUCGUUCCAUAACACAUCAUCCCGUGAUCAACUCCUUGAUCACAUUGUGCACAUUAUGAUGAUGUCCUACCGAGUGGGCCCAGAGAUACCUCUCCAUUUACACGGAGUGACAAAUCCCAGUCUCGAUUCGUGCCAACCCAACAGACACUUUCGGAGAUACCUGUAGUGUACCUUUAUAGCCACCCAGUUACGUUGUGACGUUUGGCACACCCAAAGCACUCCUACGGUAUCCGGGAGUUGCACAAUCUGAUGGUCUAAGGAAAUGAUACUUGACAUUAGAAAAGCUUUAGCAUACGAACUACAUGAUCUAGUGCUAUGCUUAGGAUUGGGUCUUGUCCAUCACAUCAUUCUCCUAAUGAUGUGAUCCCGUUAUCAACGACAUCCAAUGUCCAUGGUCAGGAAACUGUAACCAUCUAUUGAUCAACGAGCUAGUCAACUAGAGGCUUACUAGGGACAUGGUGUUGUCUAUGUAUCUACACAUGUAUCUGAGUUUCCUAUCAAUACAAUUCUAGCAUGGAUAAUAAACGAUUAUCAUGAACAAGGAAAUAUAAUAAUAAUCAAUUUAUUAUUGCCUCUAGGGCAUAUUUCCAACAGUUAAUUGGGUUAGACGCUACCCGACUCAGCCCCAUGGCUUUGGCCCGACGUGGGGUAUACACACCACCAGGAGGGUCCGGAUGUGCCACCACGCGGGGGUGGGUGCGCGUCGAGAACCACCCAAGGGUAGUGGCCUCGGGCUGGCAUGCAGUCCAUCCGUCAUGUACCCUCCAGGUAGGUCGCCCACGCGCAAGCUAUCCGGGCAAAUCGGAUGGCUUGCAUCGGCCUUGAGAUCCUCCCGCCGCAAACCAAACGGUGACCGACGACCAGGAGCCUCUCUUCACCGUGAGGAGCCCAAGGAUGCUGGUAUUCCAGCAUCCUUUAUAGGAUUAAUGACUAUGAUCAUUCAUGGCAUGAUCUUGCAUAGGCAUUACAUCCGUGAUAUGCAGAUCGUUAUCCAGCUGCAUCUUCAUCUAAUACUCCACCCCAAGCCUACUAUCCAACAUUAAGUUUAUAAUAAACAAAGCAUUGCAAUAAGUAUGAUGGCAUAGUGUAGACAAUAGAACUAUCAUAUGUAAGUGAUUAAGAAAGUACAAUUUUAUCCUUAGUGGCAACAAUACAAUAUGUGUCCAAUCCCUUAUUGUCAAUAGGGUCAAACUCACUGCAAGGUUGAACUCACUACCAUGCACAAAUAUCUAUAAAGAACUACCUACCAAUCAUGGUCAGAGAUGACAAAUAGAUUGAGAAGCAUACACUUGUAGACUAAAGAAACUUCAUAAGGUUAAAUAUAAUUCAAGGAACAAUCUGAUAAUAAAGUGAAAAUUCAUCAUAUUCUAACAAACAUAAACAAUGAUUACAUUUUAUUGAUGCCGAUCAUGUCAGGCACCUCAUGAGAAUUUUGUAUUGAAUCACUUGAGAGAGAGACGCUGCCAUCUAGCUACGGGUAUGGACCAUAACGUCCUAAGGAAACUACUCACACAAGUUUUUGAUGGUAACAAGGUUGAUGAGAUGGCUCCAGUAAUGGAUUCACCCUCCAGCGGGAUGCUGGUACAGGCCUCCAGACUAGAUCUCCCUGGAACAGAAACUUGUGGGGGCGGAAAAAAGCAUGGAAAAAUGGUAUAGAUGUUUUCGAAAAAUAUGGGGUUUAUGGGCAAAGGAAUCGGCGCAAGGCGGUGCUAGGGGGGCCCACGUGUCUACUCCAUGAGGUGGCCCACCGGCCUCUCCCAUCACUUAUUGGAAUCUUCUAUAUUACCUCCGUCCUAGUUUAUUAGUCCCCUAUGUAAUUUGUGCUAAAUUUUUACCAAAAAUUUAAUUGACAAGUCUUCUGUGCUUUUGAACAGUGUACCUGGUCGGCAAUUUCAGUGCAAAUGUGGAGUACGCUAAGGAGAUCCCAUGUCUCGCCUCAUUUUUGUCAUUGCGGCCGAUCUCUUGCAGUCUGCCAUUAACGAAGCACUUGAUCAAGGCCUAAUCAGACAGCCCAUCCCUCCCAAAGGUGAUGCAAAGUAUCCGGUAAUCCAGUAUGCGGACGACACUAUCAUAGUGUUGUCGGCGCGUCUUCUCCAAGCAGCCAAGAUAAAACAAAUUCUUGAAGACUACGCCACCUUCAUUGGCCUUAAGAUAUUUUCAUAAAUCCACAAUCGUGCCUAUCAACAUGCCGGCGGACACUUGCAAUGCUCUGGCCAACCUUUUUGGUUGUACCCAAGCCAACAUGCCAUUUACUUACCUGGGUUUGCCCUUAGGGACCACGCGACCUUCGAUUCUUGAUAUGACACCAUUUGUGUGCAAAGCUGAAAGAAAGAUCACAUCAGCUAUGUUUGUCAUGUCACAUGCUGGAAGGUUGGCUCUGCUCAACUCGCCCAUUACCUCGCUCGCCAUCUAUCCGAUGGGCACCCUGCGUUUGCCGCCAAAAAUCCUUGAUCAAUUGGACAAAAUACGCAGAUACUGUCUCUAGAAGAAAAAAACUGCGGAUGGCAACAAACAUAAUUCACUAGCUGCUUGGCCCAUGGUCUGUCGACCUAAAUCUAGUGGUGGCCUCGGGAUUCUUGAUCUGAAGGUUCAAAAUGACGGCCUACUUCUCAAAUUCCUUCAUAAGUUUUUCAACAAAAUGGGCAUUCCUUGGGUGCAGCUGGUUUGGGAGACGUACUAUGUUGAUUCGAUCCCCCAUGCAACCGACAUAUGCGGCUCCUGCUGGUGGCGCGAUCUUGUUCACCUAAUGCCAAUAUAUCGCGGUAUCACUCAUGUUCAAAUCAAAUAGGGUACAUCUGCACUUUUUUGGAAAGACAACCGGAAUAAUGCUGUAUAAGCUAAUAAAUAUCCGAGGGCUUUCUCUUACGUCCAAGACGAAGAUUUGUCGGUCCGAGACUUCCUAACGGCCACCACCCUGCAUGAAACCUUUCAGCUGCCGCUCUCCACGCAAGCCCAUGAUGAGCUCAAGCUAUUGCAGCUCGACGUCGCGGCGGUGACUUUUGAUGAGCAGGACAAUGUUUGGUCUUAUUGUUGGGGGUCGACUGUGUUCAAGACUGGCACGUACUAUCGAUUCUUCUGUUGAGAUGUAGUCACACACGUGGCUUUCCGUUGGCUUUUGCGCACCAAGUGCACCCCAAAAAUCAAGGUCUUCGCUUGGUUCCUUUUGUCAGAUUGCCUCAACACUCGAAACAUGCUAAAAAGGAGGCAUUACAACAUUGGUUCCAACCUUGAUUGCCUGCUAUGCGGUCUUCACGUUCACGAAACAGUAGAACAUCUCUUGGAACAUCUCUUGGUUAGCAAGGAUUGUUGGCGGCGGUUAAACAUCACCUGGGCUAUGGUUGGGAAUAGGCUGGAUCUUGUGGAACAAUUGAAGACACGGCGUCCUUGCAAAAUGAUCAUGUAAAUUUUCCUGGUUGCUACUUGGAGCCUAUGGAAGGAGCCCAACAAUCUCUACUUUAGGCACAUCGUGCCUUCCAUGACCUCUUGGUGGGAUCAGUUCAAAUGUGACUUUAGCAACAUUCAAUAUACAUUGCCAGAGCAUAAGAGACAUGUUGUCUCUUCCAUCCUACAACACCUGCAUCAGGAGUCUUAGUUGUUGUACAUUGUUAGCCCUCAACUACUACCCACCUUUGUAAUUACCACAAUGUAAUUGUUCCAUUUUUUAUUUAAUACAUAUGAAGUAGGGAUCUUUCCUACUGUCUUAACCUUCAAAAAAAAUUAACUGACAAAAUAUUAGUGCAUGUUAACAAAAAUUAUAUCGUUGUAUUCGUAUUUGAACAUAGUUUUUUAUGAUAUAAUUUUCUGUGACAUACAUGAACAUUUUGUUAGUUAAAUUUAUGGUCAAAUUUUGGCAUAGAUUACAAUGGGGACCAAUAAACCAGGACGAGGUAGUACUUCAAAAAAUCACCAUAAGUCCCUAUGGUAUUAUGAGUUCCACAGAUAUUGAUUUUCUGAGAAGUCAAAACAUGCAGAAAACGGUAACUGGCUCUGUGCACUUAAUUAAUAGGUUCGUCAGGAAAAAAAUUGCUAUAAAAAGUAUUCAAAAGUGAUAUUAUAAUAUUAUGAAAUAAAAAAUUAUCGAUAUGUUUGAGAUGUAUUAGUACCAUAAAUAUCUUACGGCCCAAUGGACCAGUAACAUGUGCAAUUUGUUGUGGCUAAUGUACACUUUUCUUUCAGGUUGAAUCCAUAGUUUUCAUGUCGGCAGCCCACAAAAUAGUGUUAUUCUUCUUCCUCUCCUCUCGUGAUCUCGGCACCUUUAUCAUUGCCAUUGUUAGCUAGCCCCCUCGUGUUGUGGCAUUCUAUUUUGCAAUAUUUACAGGAAGGCAUAAUAAGAAUACAUACAAGAAGGCAUAAUUAAUGCAACUCACUACAUCAUUGCAUGAACCAGUUAAAUCGAGAAACAUGUCUCUGCACAUUAGCAUUCAUAUUCAUAUAUUCAUGUGAAUUGGGUAUUUGUAUUGAAAUGGGUUAUUCAUGGCUGUUACAUCAUCGUGGCGCAUUGCAUUGUACGAAGGUGUUAAUACGUCCAAAAACAGUCACGUCUUCUUCUACCUUUAUGAUGUCUAUUCAUGUCAUUUUAACCGGAAAUUCGUAGGUGCACACACCUGCCCGGUCGGGCCUCAACAUAAUUUCCUCACAAUACACAAACUUGUUUGACUCCUCAAAGUUCCCUUCAUGGUUUUGGGUUUUUAGCUUCUGAAACUUAGUGAAUUUAUCAUUCAUUCCUACCAUGUUUUAGCAUGUGAAACGUAGUGAAGUUGGAAAAACAUGGUAUAACAUAUUCAAAAGUGAUUUUAUUUCAAUGCCCUCAUCACUAGUACCCAAUAUGCAAAUGAAACAUAAAUUGGACUUUUGCUUCAAAAGAUAUAAUAAAUUCAAAUUGGAAGUCUAAAGAAAAAGCAUGAGAUGGGGUCGGUGCCCGCACAUGUGUGCCACUAUGUGUCUUUUUUAUCAGUUACAUUACUUUGUUUCCAAUUUUGCUGCCAUAUAUGACAGUUUAUAUCAUCUCUCUUUUUGAGAAAUGUCAAAGAAUGACAACAAUAAAUAGAAAAAUCCUAAAUACAAAAGAAUAGGAAGACAAAGAAAUUCAUACAAAAAUUACAUUCAUGGGGUGUAGCAAGAGGGCACGAUAGGGCUUGUUGGGCCCACCAGUCGCUCCACCCCUCUCAUCCAACCAUUAUCGCCACCAUUUUGACCCUAGAUCGCAUCCAUCUUAAUAAUUUAAUUUAUGGGUGUAUUUAUAGAGGAAUGGAGGAGGACGAGCCACUGACAAAUAAAAAGUAUUCACGGCCAAAAUACUGCCCAACUCUCGUCUCCAAAAAAUCCAUGAUAGAUUGCCAAGGAUUGGUUUGUACCCAUGGUAAUGGAUCCAAUCCACAUAUCCUCCACGAUGAUCCCAUAAUGUGUGAGUAGUAUAUCAAGGCUAUAGAGGUUGUGUAGUAGUAGAUAUGUCAAUUUCUCCCUCAUUUUCUUAGACCUAGGAUGGUUUUGUUAUUUCACUGAAGUAGUACCAUUAUGGGUAUGCGGUAGAGACAUCUUAAUUUGUUCUAACGAGGAUGUGUAAUGAUGAUAGUUACAUCUUGGUCCUAUCAUUGGUUGUUAUACACUUUACAAAUACAUUGGACAAGUGUCCAUUAAUUGCUCCGUCGUGCCCUAAUCUGGGAUGUUAUAUUAUGUGCAUGUAUUAAUGUAUUUGCAUUGGCAUAGGGUUUCGUGGACUUGGUUGGCCCCUCCUUUUCUGUAUUCCGUGAAAGCCCAAAGAUGGACACAGUUGUGUGACAAAAGCUAUGCAAUCUUUCCUUUUGCGGUUAUCACUAGUAGUACAUGCCAGAAUCUUUGCUGGUUAGCCAACACCAUAAAGAGCAUAUGAGAGAGAGAGAGAGAUGACCUCAUUUAUGGGUGUAUUUAUAGAGGAAUGAACAAGGACGGUCCACGGACAAAGAAAAAUCCUUCGAGGCAAAAAUACUGCCCAACUCUUUUCUCCACUGAAAUCCACGAUAAAUUGCGAAGCAUUGGUUUGUACCCAUGGUAAUAGAUCCAAUCCACGAAACCUCCACAAUUAUUCGAUAAUGUGUGAGUAGUCCAUCAAGGCUAUGGGGGUUGUGUGGUAGUAAUAGAUAUAUCAAUUUCCCCCUCAUUUUCUUAUUCCUAGGAUGAUUUUGUGGUUUCAUCAAAGUAGUACCAUUAUGGGUAUAAUGUGGAUAUAUCUUAAUUUGUUCGAACAGGGAUGACAGUUACAUCUUCAUCCUAUCAUUGAGUGGUAUACGCUUUAUAAAUACAUUGUACGAGUGUCCAUCAAUUGCUCCGUCAUGCUCUAAUCUCGGAUGUUAUAUGAUCUGCAUGUAUUAAUGUAUUUGCACUAGCAUAGGGUUGCAUGGACUUGGUUGGCCCCUCAUUUUCAUAAUCUUUGAAAGCCCAAAGAUGAACAUAGUUGUGCGACAAAAGCUAUGCGAUUGAUCCUUUUGUGCUUAUCAUUAGUAGUACCUGCCAGCAUCUUUGCUGGUUAGGGAACACCAUCAAGAGCAUAGGACAGAGAGAGAGAACUCACGAAAGAAUUUAACUCCUUGUUGCUUAUGUGUUAAGUGUUAACGUUGCUCUUUACUUUACAUGACAGCCCAUGUUUGUAGAAGUCAGUUAAUUGAGAAAUGGAUAGCUGAAUCUUUUCCAUGCACACCCACUUUUUAUUUAGCUUGUUUAGGUUAAAAUAAAACAAUUCAACCAACACUCGCAUAUGUUCAACACUCAUUGUCAUUGUAUUUUCCAAACAAUAAUAGUCUAGGCACACUCAUUGUCAUUGUGCACAUGAGAAGAGGUUUACCUAGGUUCAGGCCCUCGGUUCGAGGUAAUACCCUACUUUCUACUUUUCUAGAAUGAUUUCUAUAACCAUAUAUGAGAACUACGUUUUGUGUCUACAAAGUGGUUCGAUCGGUAGAUCGUAUGUGGUGUACCCCGCCACACCUUAUAUGUUUGGUCUCUUCUCAACCUCUUCGGGUAUAAUAAGUCUUUCAAGCCGAUACAUGGCGACAAGUGACUUGCAUGUUAUGUGUGGGCCAAACUUGCUCUGCCAUAGAUGAAACCAUUAAGCAACACCCAUGAGAGCGAGGCACAUGCACACACAAUGAACCCCAUUUUGCCUAUUCCCAAGCCCUUGCCUCUUCUGAUCUUGGGACUCGACAUUGCAGUCACAUGUACGAGAAAGUCCAAUCCUGGUUGAUAAUUAACUAUUUCAGUAAUUUUAUUUUGUUUAAUCACAUUUGAGUACAAUUUUACCACUAUAAUGAAGGUACUCUCCCCUAUUUGGAGGUGGUACUCCUUAAAUUUUAUGUGAGAGUACCAUAUAAGUUUGACUAUUAGCUAGAUUAGGAUGGAUGGGUGGCUCACAACAAUUUUGUGGUACUGUAAAAGAGCUUGGUUCACAUAGAGUAAUUAGAAUCAACCAAAAACAUGUUAAAAUUCCUCCAAACCAAAGAUAACCUAACAUGACAAUGACAUGCAAGAUACUCAAGGGAGGACUUUUCUUCCUAGUUGAAGAGUCUUUGCCUACUCAAACUAUUUUUAUACCCUAAUUAAAAUGUGAGUACUGUUAGUUUGAUCUCUCACCCGUUCGAACCCAACAGAUCGAACGGGCCCCUUGCAUUGCGCCCUUAUCGGGGGCGCCCAACCAAACCAUGGUUGGUGGGCCCCUGUCGCCAGCGCAAUUUAAAGAGGUGGGGUGCCGGGGCAUAGAUUACGAGGUUGACCAUGCACCACAACACCACCAACACACCAAUCCGAUCUAGGGUUUUGCGCUAGGGCGACGUGAAGCUCCGCCGCCACCACCUUGCCCACACUGCGCCAUCACCGUGCGCCACAGCACCACGAUGACCUCUGGCUCGGGCUCGUCAGCCAAAGGAGAAGGUAGGACCGCAGGGAUCCCUAACCCUAACCGAUCCAGUGAUCUAACAAUAGUAUCAACCAGAGUUUGGGUUUUGGAUUUUUGGUACGAAACUAAAAGAACUUCCCUUCCCAAAAGAACCCUAGAAUAGGGAAAAGAUCUCACAGGAGAGUGCCUCGUGCUCGCCGGCAAACUGCGCCGCCGCAAGGCCGCGCCAGUUCCUCUCGAUCUGAAUGGGCAUCGGCAAGCCGAGCUAUUCGGAAGAAGAACACACCCUGCAAAGGGAAAAGGGGCACCGCAGCCAUGUCGUUCGACGGCGGGGCGCUUCCGCUAAGGGAAACGCGUCACUGGCGAAGGGGAGGCAACGACACCAUAGAUCGUCGUCGUCCAUCGGGCACAGAGGGGAAGAGGAGGCUCUCCAGUCUCUCUCUCUCUCUGUUGAAGUAGAGAUGGAGACAAAAAAAGAGGGAAGGGAAAGAGAAGGCGGCUCGCUCGGCGUGGUGGCUCGACGCUGUUGCUGGCGGCCAGCGGGGAUCUCACCCGCACCUACUCAGCCACAUCUCCCUCUUUGAUAGAAGAUUCGGUGGGUGGGGGAGAACAGGAUGAAGAGAAAGGGCAAGAAAGCGGAGGCACGCGCGUCGCGUUGGUCUUCGAUCCCGUCGCCGGCGGCCUGGCUGAGCGCCACCGUUGGCCCUCCGUCGUCAUGUUCGAAUGAACAGAGGAGGCGAGCGGCACGAGUGCGUGGGAAACAAUGGAUCUGGGGUUUCUGUUCGAGCGGCUGGUGAUCUGUUUUGUUCGAGCGAAACACGCGGUUGGCCGUCGGAUCUCCACGGGCGGUGCAGAUCAAAAGCCUAAAGCGGCGCUGGGCCUAUUGGGCCAAAGAGGAGGAGGCAGCGCUGGGCUGAGGCCGGUGGCCCAGAUCGAGGCGAGGCCGGCUCGCACGAGCGCGCGGAGGAGGAGGCCAUGGGCUGCUGCGGGCCUCCCACGCCAGGCCGAGGCCGGCUGAAGCUACAUGUUUUUUAAUAGUUUUUGUCCAGCUUUUUUUGGCAGAUUUCAUAAAUAGUUUUUCUAUGCAAAAAAAAUUCCAUCAAAUUUUUUUGUUUAGAGAAUAGAAAAGUAAACUGAAAAUUUUUAUUCGGUGAAAGAGAAGUUCCUGAAAUGAAUAAAAAGGUUCAUGAUUUUUAUUCAUGUUUUUCCGCUGCGUAAAUAAUUAAUAGUGCUUUUUACAAAGAAAAUAAAAGUUUAGAUAGAAUUAUAUUUUAAGAGCAUGUUAAAAGUGAUUAUUGAAAUGAAAUGAUUAUGUUAUUUUUAUGACCAACGUUGUUAAUAACAUGAUCAUGUUUUAUUAUUGAAAUUAAAGGUGCAUUUAUUUCUAAUAUUUUACCCAACGGUAAUAUAGAUUUAAUUGCAUAGACAAUUGUAUGUUUAAUUUGACCAACGUUAGAUUAAUGCAUCUGAUUGGUUAUACAGAUCUCACUUAAAUUGUGAUUUUAGGAGGCUUUCACUUGAUGAGUUGCUAAAAGAUGUUCCGACACUCAGAGGUGACAAUUACACUGAGUGAAGGAAGAAAGUAGCUAGAAUAGGCAUUUGUUUGUGCUGAGCUAGACUGGGUUGUGGACACUCCAUAGCCGGUCAAGCCUACAGAGCUAGUGAGAGUGGCAACCGAUGAUGAUGCUGCAUGGGAUAUAAAGAGGGGGGAUUAUGCUCCUCUGCAGAUGCCAUUCUCCAUAGAAAAUCAAAAGUGGGUCAAUGCAAACAAAAAGUGCAUGGCAUUUAUAAAGAAUACAAUUAAGAGCACCAUUGUGGGCUCCAUUGCAGAGUGCACUUUCGCAGGGGAGUUCCUUACAAAGAUAAAGAGCCACUUCACUAACUCUUCAAAGAUAUAUGCCACCGAAGUGUUAAAGCAACUGGUGACAAAACACUAUACAGGUAGUUUUCAUGUGUAACGCCCACGAUGCGGCUAUAGCUCCCACGUGUGGAAGCACGACUUAGAGGCCUAACCGCAUUGUAAGCAAUGUCGCAAGUGAGGUAAUCUUCACAACAACCCAUGUAAUGAAUGAGGGAAAAGAUACAUAGUUGGCUUACACUCGCCACGUCACACCAAUAGCAUAAAUAUCAUUACAUUCAUCCAGAUACAAUCAAGCCAGACUACGGAACCAAAAUAUAGAACAACCCCAAAUGCGACAAAGUCCCCGAUCGCCCCAACUGUGCCCCACUACUAAUCGUCUGGAAAGGAAACGUAGUAUCGUCUUGAGUCCUCAUCGAACUCCCACUUGAGCUCAGUCAAAUCACCUAGAGCGGUAUCAUUGGUCCCUGCAUCUGAUUUUGGUAGUAAUCUGUGAGUCACGGGGACUCAGCAAUCUCACACCCUCACGAUCAAGACUAUUUAAGCUUAUCGGAAGGGUAAAAGUAUGAUGUGGAGCUGCAGCAAGCGACUGGCAUAUAUGGUGGCUAACAUACACAAAAGAGAGCGAGAAGAGAAGGCAAAGGCACGGUCGAUGAACUAUGAUCAAGAAGUGAUCCUAGAACAACCUACAAUCAAGAAUAACACGAGACCGUGUUCUCUUCUCGGACUCCACCGAAAAGAGACCAUCACGGCCACACACUCUGUUGAUUCAUUUUAAUUAAGUUAAGUUUCAUGUUUUCUACAACCGGACAUUAACAAAUUCCCAUCUACCCAUAACCGCAGGCAUGGCUUUCGAAAGAUCAAAUCCCAGCAGGGGUGUCCCAACUUAGCCCAUCACAAGCUCUCACGGUCAACGAAGGAUAUUCCUUCUCCCAAGAUAAUCCGAUCAGACUCGGAAUCCCGGUUACAAGACAUCUCGACAAUGGUAAAACUAAACCAGCAAAGCCACCCGAAUGUGCCGACAAAUCCCGAUAGGAGCUGCACAUAUCUCAUUCUCAGGGCACACUCAGAUGAGCCAGACGUCAGGUAGGCCAGCCCAGAGUUGCCCCUGGUAGCCCCGGACAUCGCUCAGUUGGACCAACACUUAGAGAAGCACUGGCCCGGGGGGGGGGGGGAAGUUAAAAUAAAGAUGACCCUUGAGUCCGCGAAACCCAAGGGAAAAGGCUAGGUGGCGAAUGGUAAAACCAAUGUUGGGCAUUGCUGGAAGUGUUUUAUUCAAGGCGAACUGUCAAGGAGUUCCCAUUAUAACCCAACUGUGUAAGGAGCGCGAAAUCAAGGAACAUAACACCGGUAUGAUAGAAACUAGGGCGGCAAGAGUGGAACAAAACACCAGGCAUAAGACCGAGCCUUCCACCCUUUACCAAGUAUAUAGGUGCAUUAAAAUAGACAAGAUAUAUAUAAUGAUAUCCUAAGAAAGAACAUGUUCCAACAAGGAACAAACUCCAAUCUUCCCCUGCAACUAGCAACGCUAUAAGAGGGGCUGAGCAAAGCGGUAACAUAGCCAAACAACGGUUUGCGAGGACAAGGUGGGUUAGAGGUUUGACAUGGCAAUAUGGGAGGCAUGAUAAGCAAGUGGUAGGUAUCGUAGCAUAGGCAUAGCAAAAGAGCGAGCAUCUAGCAAGCAAAGAUAGAAGUGAUUUCGAGGGUAUGGUCAUCUUGCCUACAAAGUCUCUGAGUUGACGUUAGCUUGAUCCUCGUAAGCAUACUCAACGGGCUCCUCGAUCACGUACUCGUCUCCCGGAUCUACCCAAAGCAAGAACAACAAGCAAAGGGAGACACAAUCUACCACGUGCAAUGCACAAACAACAUGAUACAAAACAUGGCAUGAUAUGCGGGACGUGAUAUGCGAUGCAUAUGCAUGUUUCGGAAAUGAAAGAUUGAACCUGGCCUCAACUUGGAAAACCAAGAGUGCCAGUGGAAGGAGGAGUUGAUUUCGGUCGAAAUCGAUAUAAAGAUCACCGGAAUCGGAUGCACGGUUUGCAAAUGGCAAGCAAAACAAAUAUGGCACCGAUCUACAAUUAACAGCACAAGGCCAUCUAAAUGCAUCAAGAACAAAAAGCUACAGCACUCUAACAUAGCAACAAAAUAUAUGGCAGGGAUCCACUCAAGAUGCUUGACAAAAGAUGAACACUGAGCUAUGGCUAAUUCACUCAAUAGCAGCUUCGAACGAGCAUGGCAAAAGUGCAAAAGAUAUCAGGUUACAGACUUAGAGAAAAUAACAACAUGCCAGGAAUUUAACAUCAGGAAGAAAUGUUUAGAGAGCAUGAUAACAACAUGCUACAGGAACAUAUCAUGGCAAAGCAAAGCAUGGCAUGAAGCUACUCAAAGCAUACAACAAAAGUCCCUUACUGACCAUAAGCCAAAAGAGAUCAGAAAAUACAAUGGCAUCCAUGUGAACAUAGCAAGUAGACAUGGCAUAGAAGCUAAACAUGGCAAUAACAAUAUCAUAGCAUGCACGGAUCAACUAUAACAACCUCGGCAAAAAUGCUUAACAUGUAAACAUUCUGCCAGGAACAUUUUAUAGCAAAAGUAGAGCUCGAUUGACUCAAGCUAGGGUGCUCCAUAAAUGCAAACAAAGACAUAGCUGGAUAGAGCAACACAAUAUCUACAAAACAUCCUUACUGAUCAUGCUCAAAAGAGGCAUAGAUCAGUCGGUAGCAACAUGAACACAUGGCAUAAAAAUAUAGACAGAACAAAGACUUAGAAUAUUUCUAAGUCCCUGAAAACAGCAACAUUGAGAGGGCUACUUUGCAUGCUUGUGCUAGUCACCACAGAGAUCACGAAAAUACAUGGCAUACACCCCCGUAAAGAUGGCAUGGCAUGCUUCAAAACUCAUGUAGUGCUCAACAUCAUAGGAGGCACACAUCAAUCAUGGCAAAAAUGACAAAUGUCCAAUUACUGAUAUGGAUCUGAAACUAACAGAAACUAGCACUCUUCCAACAGCAUUUAGGGCAUCAAGAUGAGCUCAAAUAAACAUGAUGCAAUGAGAUGAAAUGAAGUACUCGUCGAGGCCAACAUUUCGAUAUGCUACACACGCAAAACAGAGCCACAGGUGCAGAGUUAUGAGAUGAUGAAGUAUGCAAAUAAUUACUGAAAUGGGGCAAAUUAGGUCAACUGUUAGGUCUCCAAAUCCAGAUCCGGAUCGAGGUCACUGUAGUGGCGCGGAACCCGAGGUGCUCGCUGGAGUGGCUCGCCAGAACAGGGACGCGGUGGCCGGCCGGGAGGACGCUGAGGAGGAAGGAGAGGCCGGCCGGGCUUCGGAGGAGGCGCGGCAUCGGCGGCGCGGAAGCCGGGGCGUCCUGCGAGGCGAUUGCCGGCGAGGAGUGAGGCGGCGGGCCCGCCGGCAUGGACCGAGGCGGCGGUCGCCGGAGCGGCGAAGGACGAGGAAGGGCGUGGGCGGCGCGGUGGCAACGGGCCGCGGGGGACUCCCGCGGGCCGGGCGGCGGCGCGGCGAAGUGGGGCUCCCGUGGUGCCACGUGUCGAGUGGGGAUAGGCUGAGGCGGCGGGCGUACGCGUCCGGUCCGCUCCGGACAUGUCCGGCGGUGCGAGGAGCAGAAUUUUUAGGGUUUGGGGGGAAGAGAUACAGGAUUUCGGGUGGUGAUGCCUUUUUAUAGGUAGGAGGAGCUAGGAGGCUCCAAAUUGAGCACGGUUUUCGACCACGCCAUCGUGAUCGAACGGCCUAGAUGAUGGAAGGGGUUUAGGUGGGUUUUGGGCCACUUUGGAGGGGUGUUGGGCUGCAACACACACGAGGCCUUAUCGGUCCCUCAGUUAACCGUUGGAGUAUCAAACGAAGUCUAAAUGGCACGAAACUUGACAGGUAGUCUACCGGUAGUAAACCAAGGCCACAUGACAAGUCUCGGUCCAAUCUGAAAAUGUUUAACACCCGCACACGAAAAGAGGUAGAAAGGGACACCGGAGGACAUAGGAGCGCUGGAAUGCAAAACGGGCAACGGGGAAAAUGCUCGGAUGCAUGAGACGAACACGUAUGCAGAUGCAAUGCACAUGAUGAGAUGAUAUGAGAUGCAUGAGAAGAAAAAAGCACACGAAGACAAAAACCCGACAACAAGGAAAUAUCAUAACUUAUCGCCGGAAAAGGCAAGAGUUGGAAUACAAAUAUGGCAUGUUACAUACGAGGUGUUACAACACUCCACCACUACGAAAGGGUCUCGUCCCGAGAUCUAGGACUGGAAAAACUCCGGGUAUUCAGAACGGAGGUGAUCCUCGCGUUCCCAGGUGGCUUCACGGUCGGAACAAUGUGACCACUUGACUUUCAGGAAUUUAAUAGACUUGUUGCGAGUCUUGCGCUCAGUUUCUUCAAUAAUAGCAAUGGGGUGCUCACGAUAAGACAGGUCUUCUUGGAGAUCAAUCUCUUCAAAGUUGAUGGUGCGGUCAGGAGUCUUGAAACACUUGCGGAGUUGAGAGACGUGAAACACGUCGUGCAUGUUUGCAAAGUUGGAUGGAAGCUCAAGUUGAUAGGCGAGAUCGUCUCUUUGCCGAUGAUCUUGAAAGGACCCACGUAUCUAGGGGCAAGCUUCCCUUUGAUACCGAAGUGACGAGUACCUUUCACUGGAGAGACACGGAGGUAGACAUGGUUUCCGAUCUCGAAAGCCAAGUCACGAUGCUUGCUAUCAUAGUAACUCUUCUGGAGAAACAUCAUAACAUCCAACUAUAAUAGCAAAGCUCGCGAUACAUCAAGAUCGUACCACCUCAAGAACACGAGAGAGAGAGAGAGAGAGCGAGAGAGAGAGAGAGAGAGAGAGAGAGAGAUCAAACACAUAGCUACUGGUACAUACCCUCAGCCCCGAGGGAGAACUACUCUCUCCUCGUCAUGGAGAACACCGGAUGAUGAAGAUGGCCACUGGAGAGGGAUUCCCCCUCCGCCAGGGUGCCGGAACGGGGCUAGAUUAGUUUUCGGUGGCUACGGAGGCUUCUGGCGGCGGAACUCCCGAUCUAUUCUGCUCCUCGAAGUUUUUAGGGUAUAUGGAUAUAUAUAGGAGGAAGAAAUACGUCAGGGGAGCCACGAGGGUGGAGGGCAUGCCCAGGGGGGUGGGCGCGCCCCCUGCCUCGUGCCUUCCUCGUUGCUUCCCUUAUGUACACCUCAAGUCUUCUGGAUUGCUUCCAUUCCAAAAAUAAGUUCCGUGAAGUUUCAGGUCAAUUGGACUCCGUUUAAUUUUUCUUUUCUGCGAUACUCAAAAACAAGGAAAAAAUGGAACUGGCACUGGGCUCUAGGUUAAUAGGUUAGUCUCAAAAAUCAUAUAAAAUAGCAUAUAAAUGCAUAAAAAACAUCCAAGGUUGAUAAUAUAAUAGCAUGAAACAAUAAAAAAUUAUAGAUAUGUUGGAGACGUAUCAGCUGGCUAUCUCCAACGUCGGCUCGUUUGCGGUCGGACCGCUUCGACCAUCGCUCCAUCUCCUCGUUGUCCGGGCGAUACUUCGGUCCAAGGGCUGGCCCUCUCCCAGCAACGGUUCAUCACACGUCUCAGGCCAGGAGUUACAGGACGGAGCUCCUCUCGCGCCCGGCGGCAGGACGGAGCUCGUCUCGCGCUCGGGGCUGCAGGACAGGCGAUGGAGGCCAGUUGUGGCCGGCCUAUUGAGUCUCGGCGCUGGGGGUCGUGCAGGGGUGCGAAAGGCGGCGCCUUUCCGCUCGUCUCUUCGGUUGGGGUAGCGGUGGGUCACGGGUCAGGUGUUGCCUAGGUCUGGGAUGCCGGGGCGGCGGCCCCGGUGGUAGUAGCGUGGUGCUUUUGGGCAGAGCCCGCGGCUUGGUGCUGCCCGGUGACCACGACCGUGCGGGCGGCGUGGCAGCCGGGAUGUGGCGUUCGGUGGCGGUGAGUGUUGGCCGGGGUGAAAACAUGUUCUUUCUGCGGACAGACCGGCGGCGGCGAAACUCGUUUCCUUCUUGAAGGCGUCGUCGCGGCUCUCAUCGCCCAUCGUGUGCUCCUGGGGAUACUCUGAUCCUUGGAUCGGGCCGUGGCGGCGCUCUGGUGUCGUAUCCUUGCUGGAGGCGCCGUCUUGAAGUCCACGGAUCGUCGUAUGCGGCUUCAUCUCUUCGUAGUUAGGUGUGGUGUUGCUGCGCUCAGCGUCUGUAUAUCAUACCUUGGAUGUGUGUUUUUAUUGUGGUGGCGUGCGUUUGUGUCGGGAUGUUGGUGAUCUUUAUUUUAUAUAUAAAGCGGGGUGAAAGUCUUUUUCCGUAAACUUGUACCUUUCAGCUUGUCACGCGAGGGCGGAGAUAAAACCUUAGGAUGCUGCAGGGUAGAUAGCGGGGGACAAAAAACAAAAGUAGCACAAAACCUUAGGAUUCUGCUCGGCCACGGUCGCCUUUGUAAUAAGUGGACCAGUAUGAAAGUGGCGAUGCGGUCAUCGGUGCUUCCCUCGUAGCGGCGCAUGGGAUGCAUGCAUGCAUACAGCUGAAUGAUAAUCUAAUGAGUGCAGUGCAAACGGCAGGAACGAGAGAAGCGUGUGUUUCAUCUUACACCAACGACCGAACAAAACAUAUCACCACUAGCAGUUGACAGUGGUGGCACCUUUCCAAAAAAGAUAGACCCAUGAUCCAUGAUCCAUCUCCACCGCAGUGCAAUGGUUGGGUUGCAACCCGCCCACUGAUUCUUAACACUUUUCGGGUAAUUUAACGAAACGUGUUUCACACGGACAUUUAUCGUACGAAUGGUAAUCAUCGUGAAGCAAUAUGGUAGUGGAUUAUGAGAAAAGAUUCAUCUCCAGCCCGCUGCCAAAACGGUUUUGAAGGUAGCUAGCUAGUUUUCUCAAUUCACUAAUGAUCGACCAUUCAAUCACCAUUAACUGAUCUACUUGCAUGUCGACUGACCUCCUACCUUUUCUGUUUAAUAUAUGAUCUAGGAGAGGCCCAGUGGAGUCUGCACAAACAAGGUUGAGUUACACAUGAAAGGGCGUACGUACAAGUCAAGUGAUGUGUCAAGCUCGUGCAUAAAUUGAUCAUAAAAACCCGAAUCAAUUGUAUCGCUUUUAUUUGUCGGGGAACUAACCAAUGAUCUUGAGGGUCACCUUUGGCUCUUGUUCAUAUCUGCUCUGCAGCUCUGGAAAGCCCCAAGUAAUUGGUGUCGUUCCUUGCCGCUGCAGUGAUUUUACUCCUAUAUAACAUUAAGAAUGCACGCACUGCAGCCAGAAGCUGGCUGCUCGCUCUGACUGCUUUCUGCCAACCGCUGAGUCGAUCCGAUCCAUGUCAAUUUGGCAAAAUUUCGCUCUGACUGCUUUCUGCCAACCGCUGAGCCAGAAGCUGGCUGCUGCUUUCUGCUCCACGGCCUUGCAGUAGCCCAACACUUGCCGAUUCAUACGCGACAGAGGAGCCAAUUUGGCAUAAUUCUUGGGCAUGACCAUCCGGUUCACCGAAUUCUGUACUACUACUUGUAGCUCGCCGCAGGUCCGUGUCAUCCAGAUCCGGGCAUGACUCUGUAGGUGCACGCACCGAGAAGUGUGUGUGUGGAUGGCAAGCAAAGGCUCCAGAACAGGAUCAAUGAUCUCAUACCACUUUUUGUUGCCGAGAAGGAUCAACGUAAAAGCUAUCUCAAUGAAUGGCACACUCACACGAUCAAAUGUUACAAGACACACAAAAUUCUUGUGCGGCAUUCAACUAGCAGAUUUUUUUUUUGCUUGUCUAUUCAUUUGACCACUACUUGGGCCGUUCAGGUACAAAUAGGAAGGGAGAAAGACAUGAGUUGGACCGAGCUUCAUGGCAAUUCCAUCCCAAAGCCACUCACUCCACAACCCCAACAUUGCUGCCGCAAUCGCUAGGUCUCAUGCCAUCCCAUAUAGCAACCACAACAGUCUACAUAAAGAAAUAAACCAGCAGCCAAGUCGUGUGCAUACACACACGACAUGGCGCGUUAUUUGCUAGCCGAGGAAUAAAGGAAACUAGGGUUCAUGUGACGUUGACUAACACAGAAGACGCUGUGCUUAGUUGCGGGUAAAUUGGGGCCACAUGCCAUUACGGUAGAGACCCUCUUUAAGAUAGGCGGUGGCAUGGCGGAGUUCUUCCUUGAGCCUCAUAUUCUCUGUACACAGACGUUGGUGCUCCGAGGUAUCCUGAGUUUUUAGUAUCACCCAUGCGCAUUUGAGGCAUGCCUUGUGUUCAACAACCCACUUGAUAGCUUGGUUUUCAUCUUUUAGCAUCUGGUUCUCUCCCUGAAGAUUUUUGGUGUCCUGUAGUUGCCUCUUGCCCUGCAUUUAUUAAUUUCAAGUCUGCGUCAUUUUAGUGGGUUAGCAAAGUAUGCAUGCUACCAUGUUCACGAGGGG
rnacentral:lncRNA from 1 species